rnacentral:sRNA from 1 species
GUGGCAGUCACAGACUAAAUCCGUUUUGCCAUAGAACACAUGGAGCUCAGGCAGAAGCGAUGACAGCUUCCCCAAAGGGACACUGGCAACAUGCCUCAAGCCUGACUUGGAAGGACCCCUGACAGCUGAAAGCACAGUUCAGUCUCCAGGGCCCAUUCAGUCCAUGGCCUAC